rnacentral:rRNA from 1 species
GCAAGUCGAACGAAAUCUUCGGAUUUAGUGGCAGACGGGUGAGUAACGCGUGGGAACCUACCUAGUGGUACGGAAUAACUCGGGGAAACCCGUGCUAAUACCGUAUGUGCCCGAAAGGGGAAAGAUUUAUCGCCAUUAGAUGGGCCCGCGUCGGAUUAGCUUGUUGGUGAGGUAAUGGCUCACCAAGGCGACGAUCCGUAGCUGGUCUGAGAGGAUGAUC